UACGUAGGGGGCAAGCGUUGUCCGGAAUCAUUGGGCGUAAAGCGCGUGUAGGCGGUUACGUAAGUCUGCUGUGAAAGUCGGAGGCUCAACCUUCGAAAGCCGGUGGAUACUGCGUGACUAGAGUACGGAAGAGGAGAGUGGAAUUCCCGGUGUAGCGGUGAAAUGCGCAGAUAUCGGGAAGAACACCCGUGGCGAAGGCGGCUCUCUGGGGACGGUACUGACGCUGAGACGG
rnacentral:rRNA from 1 species